GGCAAAAGGUGAGGAGUGCUGUCUCCGUUUGCUACAUAUCUCAUCAAAAAUAGACAAAACCUCAACCGGUGGAGACUCCGCUCCACUCCCACUCUCUACCCAUUCGCAGCACAGGUUUCUCCCUCUCUAAAAUUUGUUUCUAUGCUUUGAUCAAAAUCAAUUACUUUCUCUAUUAAUUUUGACCCAGUUGGGUGUCAAGAACAAUGCUAAGAUACUUGCCAGUCGGGUCUGUGUUGAGGAGGGAAAGUCCUUGGGGGUGGAGUUGAUGGCUGAGGAGGAACGCUCUAACGGACUCAGCCGAGUCAAGGUGAUGGAGCAAAAGGGUUUUGCUUUCUGCCAUGGUCAUAGGUUCUUGCACAGGUAAUUUUCAUGCCAAGUCAAUAUCAGAUGGCGCAUCUGGUGUUGGGUCUUCUGCUACAAAAGCUUCUCGUAUUUAAGAUGCUGCUCGGCUGCAACAGAAGUUGAUUGGUCAGGACAUUUCAGAUGACAAAUUUUCCUUUACUUCAGAGCUUACGAGGGCUUCAAGGAGUAGGAUGCCUGAAGAAAAUAUUUCCACAAACCAAGUUGAUAAAUACGAGCCUAUUCGCAAAAGCAAACAGAUCUCUAAGAGACGUAUGUUAGAUGAAGAUGAUGAUGACGAGAUCAAAUACCUCGAAAAGCUCAAAACACCCAAGGCUACUGUUGAUUAUGGUGUGGAGUAUGAAGAUGAUGAGGAAGGAGGGAGCAGGAAACAAUGGAAGAUAUCAAGGGUGUUGAAGAGUAGCGUUGAUGGAAUAUGAUGUUAAUGUGAAAGAUCACCUCUUGUCAAGGUCAGGUAAGGAUGGUAAAAAGUCUCUAUCAGGGAGAGUAUUUGAAGAUAUUGAUUAUGUGGAAGAUGAAGAUCCAAUCUCAGAUGGUGAGAUCAAUACUAAUAAGAAGAAACCAAAAAAGGAGUCUCUUGAUUUAUUGGGAGAUAAUAAGAAGGAAAUGACAGUCACUACACGUCAGCAGGCCCUUCAAACUGGCAAAGAUGUCUCUUCCAGCUUCGUUGCAAGUCUAAUUGAGUUCCCAAGUGGCUUGCCUCCUGCUCCACCUAUGAAGCAAAAAGAGAAAAUUUCUGAAGUGGAGCAGCAGUUGAAGAGAGUUGAGGCUCUUCAGAGGCGUUAAAUACCGAAAAAGAUCAUGCAAUGGAGCAUAACUCUUACUCAGCACUUAUAUAAUUUUAUGCAGGAGAAAGCUGCCAAUUAUAUGGUACUUGCGUCAGACUCUGUUAGAUGGGUCAUGGGUCCCUCAAGAACAGUUGUUAUAUUUCCCAAUGAAAUGGGCUUGCCAACUAUAUUUUCCAAUCCCUGCAGGAAGGUCAAAUGCAAAUAAUCCUGCCUCUAUGAAUGUUCUCAUUACUUCCUGGGAAAGAACCAUUAUGCUGCUGCGGGUG